rnacentral:rRNA from 1 species
GACGAACGCUGGCGGCGUGCCUAAUACAUGCCAGUAGAACGCACAGUUUAUACCGUAGCUUGCUACACCAUAGACUGUGAGUUGCGAACGGGUGAGUAACGCGUAGGUAACCUGCCUGGUAGCGGGGGAUAACUAUUGGAAACGAUAGCUAAUACCGCAUAAUAUUAAUUAUUGCAUGAUAAUUAAUUGAAAGGUGCAAUUGCACCACUACCAGAUGGACCUGCGUUGUAUUAGCUAGUAGGUGAGGUAACGGCUCACCUAGGCGACGAUACAUAGCCGACCUGAGGGGGUGAGCGGCCACACUGGGACUGAGGUACGGCCCAGACUCCUACGGGAGGCAGCAGUAGGGAAUCUUCGGCAAUGGACGAAAGUCUGACCGAGCAACGCCGCGUGAGUGAAGAAGGUUUUCGGAUCGUAAAGCUCUGUUGUAAGAGAAGAACGGGUGUGAGAGUGGAAAGUUCACACUGUGACGGUAUCUUACCAGAAAGGGACGGCUAACUACGUG